rnacentral:rRNA from 1 species
UACGUAGGUGACAAGCGUUGUCCGGAUUUACUGGGCGUAAAGAGCGCGCAGGCGGUCGUUCAAGUCGAGUGUGAAAGCCCCCGGCUCAACUGGGGAGGGUCAUUCGAUACUGAUCGACUCGAAGGCAGGAGAGGGAAGUGGAAUUCCCGGUGUAGUGGUGAAAUGCGUAGAUAUCGGGAGGAACACCAGUGGCGAAGGCGACUUCCUGGCCUGUUCUUGACGCUGAGGCGCGAAAGCGUGGGGAGCAAACGGG